AUUGAACGCUGGCGGUAUGCCUAACACAUGCAAGUCGAACGGCAGCAUGACAAGAGCUUCGGUUUUUGUUGAUGGCGAGUGGCGGACGGGUGAGUAAUAGGUAGGAAUCUGUCCUAGAGAGUGGGAUAACACGCGGAAACGCGUGCUAAUACCACAUAACAUUGAGAAAUCAAAGCAGGGGACCCUUCGGGGCCUUGCGCUCUAGGUUGAGCCUACAUCGGAUUAGCUAGUUGGUAGGGUAAAAGCCUACCAAGGCAACGAUCCGUAGUUGGUCUGAGAGGAUGACCAGCCACACGGGGACUGAGACACGGCCCAGGCUCCUACGGGGGGCAGCAGUGGGGAAUCUUGGACAAUGGGGGGAAACCCUGAUCCAGCAAUACCGCGUGUGUGAAGAGGGCCUUCGGGUUGUAAAGCACUUUAGGUGGGGAAGAAAGAUUUACAAAGAAUACGUGUAAAUUUUGACGGUACCCGCAGAAUAAGCACCGGCUAACUACGUGCCAGCCGCCGCCGUAA
rnacentral:rRNA from 1 species